GCCCGCUGCCCGUUUUGACCUCACAUCUGUGAAGCCGAGCCAUGGUACCAAACCGUGUCCUCCCAGCUGUCAAGCCACGUUUCGUUACAACGUGUGAUUUUGGUUAUAAACACCAAUAGGAUUGUGGCACGUCAAACACAGAUAUCAAAAGAACCAAUUGGGUACUGUAGUUGGGCUCCAUACCAACUAAAGUUAUUAU
rnacentral:lncRNA from 1 species